AGCAGCCGCGGUAAUUCCAGCUCCAAUAGCGUAUAUUAAAGUUGUUGCAGUUAAAAAGCUCGUAGUUGAAUUUCGGGGUCAGCAAGUUGGUCGUGCCACUGGUAUGUACUGGCUUUGCUGAUUCCUCCUUCUUGUAGAACCGUAAUGCCAUUUAGUUGGUGUUGCGGGGAAACAGGACUGUUACUUUGAAAAAUUAGAGUGUUUAAAGCAGGCUAACGCCUGAAUACAUUAGCAUGGAAUAAUGAAAUAGGACGAGCGAUCCUAUUUUGUUGGUUUCUAGGAUUGACGUAAUGAUUAAUAGGGAUAGUUGGGGGCAUUAGUAUUCAAUUGUCAGAGGUGAAAUUCUUGGAUUUAUUGAAGACUGACUACUGCGAAAGCAUUUGCCAAGGAUGUUUUCAUUAAUCAAGAACGAAAGUUAGGGGAUCGAAGACGAUCAGAUACCGUCGUAGUCUUAACCAUAAACUAUGCCGACUAGGGGUCGGAUGAUGUUAAUUUUUAAUGACUCAUUCGGCGUCCG
rnacentral:rRNA from 1 species